UAUAAAUUGGGAACACAGGGAGUAUUAACUAUUGGGUUGAAUGGGUCAAUCUUUCCCUCCACGUUGAAACCAUAGGCUAUGCAGCUAUAUAUUUGCCAGCUUCAGUAAUCAGCUAAACAUCCAACCAUUCUUGCAUCUCAUCAAACAUUUCAUCCAAUGGAUACUCAAUGUAUUAUUCAGGGAGAUUCAUCUGCUUCCCAGUUCUCUCACUCACCCCAUUGGAACUAUGAUGUAUUUCUAAGUUUCAGAGGUGAAGAUACCCGAAAAACCUUCACAGGUUAUCUUUAUUCCAGAUUGUGUCAAGUUGGAGUUAAUACCUUAAUAGAUGAUGAGGAGUUGAGAAAGGGCGAGGUGAUUUCAAGGGAGCUAGAGAAAUCAAUUGAAGAGUCCAGGAUUUCAAUUGUUGUUUUCUCAAGAAAUUAUGCUUCCUCUAGUUGGUGUCUUGAUGAACUUGUUAAGAUUCUUGAAUGCAAACAUAAGUUAAAGGACGUAGUUUUUCCUAUUUUCUAUGAUGUUGAUCCUUCUCAAGCGCGCAAGCAAACAGGGUGCUUUGGUGAAGCUUUGGCUAAACACAAGGAACGAUUUGGGACUGAAAGAAUGGAGAAGUGGACCGCUGCACUUACUGAAGCUGCAAAUUUAUCUGGAUGGGAUUUGCAAAAUGUUGCUGACGGGUAUGAAUUCAAAUUUAUCGAGAAUAUUAUUGAACAAGUCCUACAAGAGCACAACCAGACACCUCUGGAUGUUGCUUGGCACCCAGUUGGACUAGAUACUCGUGUCAAAGAGAUAGAGUUGUUGUUGCAAAAUGAAUGUGAAGAUUAAGUUCAUGUGGUUGGUAUGUAUGGUGUUGGUGGAAUAGGGAAAACAACUCUGGCAAAAGCUAUCUACAAUCGAAUAUUUCGACACUUCGAUGGUAGUUGCUUCUUAUCGAAUGUUAGAUCAGAAGCUGAAGCACCAUCUAAUGGUCUGGUCAAGCUGCAACAGAAACUUCUUCGUCAAAUUCUCAAAAAUAAGGAUUUUGAAAUUAACAAUGUUGCUGAAGGCAUCAAACUAUUCAAAACAAGAUUUGAGUCAAAAAAGGUUCUAAUAGUUCUUGAUGAUUUGGACCACAUGAGACAAUUGCAUUCCUUAGCAAGAGAUCGAAGUUGGUUUGGUUCAGGUAGUCUCAUAAUUAUUACAACCCGAGAUGAGCAUUUGCUAUGUGGGCUUAGAGCAAAUGAGAGAUAAGAGGCCAAACUAUUAAAUGACAAUGAAGCUAUGCAACUUUUUAGUUGGCAUGCUUUUAACCAUCUUUUUCCACCACAAGAAUAUGUUAAGCUGGCACAAGACAUAAUCAAAUAUUCUAGUGGUCUACCAUUAGCUCUUUCGACAUUGGGGUCACAUUUGCAAACAGAAGAAUGGAGAUUUGAAUUUGAAAAGCUAAAAGCAAUUCCUCAUAGUGAUAUCCAUGAGAUUCUCAAGAUAAGCUUUGAUGGACUUGAUGAUGAUACUCAGAGUGUUUUCCUUGAUAUUGCAUGCAUUUUUCAUGGGUUUUACAAGGACGAAGUUACCAAAACAUUAAAUGCAUGUGGUUUUCAUUCUGAAAGUGCAAUUUCAACUUUGGUCCGAAAAUGCUUGCUCCAAAGGGUGUAUCAUUUAGUGAUGCAUGAUCUAGUCCAAGAUAUGGGAAGAGAAAUCGUUCGCAUGGAAUCACCUCGAGACCCUGGAAAACGAAGUAGAUUGUUUAGCCCACAAGCAGUCCAUGAUGUUCUACAAGGAAAUAAAGGUUCUGAAAAGGUAGAAGUACUGAAGGUGGAUGGACAGGCAUUAAGUGGAGUGAGCUUAAGCACCAAAGCAUUUAAGAAAAUGAAAAAUAUUAGGGUGCUUAUAAUUGAUGAAUUACAUAUUAGUGGAGAUUUUGAGUUGUUGUCCAAGGAGCUCAGAUGGUUGUCUUGGCUAAAAUGUCCUUUAAAGUGUAUACCAUCAAAAUUUCCAGCUGAGAAACUAGUAAUUCUGAAUAUGAAAGAGAGUAAUAUCCAAGAACUUGGAUUGAAUUUGAAGCAUUGUAAAAGUUUGAAGAAUCUGGAUCUCUCUUAUUGCAAGCACCUUAAAAGAACACCAAACUUCAGUGGUUCGCAAAGCCUUGAGACUUUGCGGCUUCGUGGUUGCACAAGUCUGAAGGAGAUCCAUCAAUCAAUUGGAAAUUUAGACAGACUAAUUGAUCUAGAUUUGAAUGGUUGCAAAAAGCUUACGAAUCUUCCACACAGCAUAUGUCAGCUAAAAUCACUUGAAAACUUAAACAUUGGAAGCUACUCAUCUAUACAUACACUGCCAGUUGACCUUUGGAGAUAAGCAAAGUCUAAAAAAACUUUUAGCACUUAUACAGGUAUAAAACAAUUGCCUGGAUCUAUUGAACUGCUAAAAGAUCUUGUAAUUUUGGAAGUGGGAGGUCAAAAUGAAGAGGCAAACAUGAGUUUUUCUCGAAGAAGAGUCCAUCACGUACAACCCUUGUCAACUUCUAUUUCGCAGUUAAGCAUUACAUAUUGUGAUUUGUCUGAGGAAGAUAUUCCUAGGGAUAUUGGGAGUUUAUCCUCCUUACUUUCUUUAGAUUUGAGUGGCAACAGUUUCCAGUGUCUACCCUUUGACUUUUCUAAGUGAGGAUGC